GACGAACGCUGGCGGCGUGCCUAAUACAUGCAAGUCGAGCGGAUGGAAGGAAGCUUGCUUCCUAAAGUCAGCGGCGGACGGGUGAGUAACACGUGGGCAACCUGCCCCUAAGAUCGGGAUAACUUCGGGAAACCGGAGCUAAUACCGGAUAUGAUUAUGUCUCACAUUAGACAUAAUGGAAAGACGGUUUCGGCUGUCACUUAGGGAUGGGCCCGCGGCGCAUUAGCCAGUUGGUGAAGUAACGGCUCACCAAGGCGACGAUGCGUAGCCGACCUGAGAGGGUGAUCGGGCACACUGGGACUGAGACACGGCCCAGACUCCUACGGGAGGCAGCAGUAGGGAAGCUUCCGCAAUGGACGAAAGUCUGACGGAGCAACGCCGCGUGAGUGAAGAAGGUUUUCGGAUCGUAAAACUCUGUUGUUAGGGAAGAACAAGUACCAUAGUAACUGAUGGUACCUUGACGGUACCUAACCAGAAAGCCACGGCUAACUACGUGCCAGCCGCCGCGGUAAUAC
rnacentral:rRNA from 1 species